CUCCUCAAAGCUAGAGACUCAGAAAUGGCACAUACUAAGGAAAGUUCAUUGUGGGACUGGCUCUAGUGGCUGUAAUUAUGCACUAAGGCUGAAUUUUGUUGAGGAGAUAUUGUAUUAGGGAACCACUAAGGUCUAUAUAAAAAGCAUACAAACAUCACCAUUUCAUGGGACCU